UAGCUCAGUUGGUAGAGCGUGAGACUUUUAAUCUUAAGGUCAGGGGUUCGAGUCCCCU
rfam:Caenorhabditis japonica strain DF5081 Contig17283.8, whole genome shotgun sequence.